CAGCGGUGGAAAAGAAACCAAAAGGGAUUCCCCGAGUAACGGCGAGUGAAAAGGGAACAGCCCAGCGCAAAGGCCGCUCGCCCCACGGGGUGCUGCGUGCGAUGCUGCGUUAAUGCCGGGGCGACAGCCUCCAAGGCGACCGCGCGUUCAAGUUCCUUUGAAUAGGACCAACUAACCCACAGCGGGUGGAAGGCCCAUAGAGCGCCGCGGCCGUCGACGAGCUAGCCUCGGCAUGGUAGAGUCCCGUUGCUUGAGAGUGCAGCGGCAAGACGCGAGGUAAACUCCUCGUAAGGCUAAAUAAGACUGCGAGACCGAUAGCAAACAAGUACCGUGAGGGAAAGUUGCAAAGAACUUUGAAGAGAGAGUUCAAAAGGACGUGAAACCGCUUGCGGGUAAACGGGUGGAGCCACGAAGUCAGAACGGGGCGGGAAUUCAGCCGUCGGCCGGGUGUAGGUGUGUAGCGUGGGUCUCCUCGGAGAACUCGCUGCGUGCCGUCGAUGCCUGGCCGGCGGUGCACUUUCUGCGGCCCCGGGAAGAUGCCCUGACCGAUGGGAGCGCUGCGGCAGCCGGUAACGGGAGUCCAGCGGGAAGGUAGCGACAAGGCGUCCUCGGACGCCGCGACGUGUUAUAGCCCGCUGCUCGGUACUUGCCGCAGAACGCCUAUCGGGGAGAAAACAGCCUUCGGGCUUAGCAGACGGGGGGAGAGCUCGGUGCGCGGUGGACAGCGCGUUGUGCGACGCUACGGCGCCUUCGGGCGUCGUGCCCGUGCAUCGCAAUGCCCAGCGCCGCGUGCCAAGCGUCCCCUCCCCGAGCAAUCGAGGG
rnacentral:rRNA from 1 species